GAUGAACGCUGGCGGCGUGCCUAAUACAUGCAAGUCGAGCGAACGGACGAGAAGCUUGCUUCUCUGAUGUUAGCGGCGGACGGGUGAGUAACACGUGGAUAACCUACCUAUAAGACUGGGAUAACUUCGGAAAACCGGAGCUAAUACCGGAUAAUAUUUUGAACCGCAUGGUUCAAAAGUGAAAGACGGUCUUGCUGUCACUUAUAGAUGGAUCCGCGCUGCAUUAGCUAGUUGGUAAGGUAACGGCUUACCAAGGCAACGAUGCAUAGCCGACCUGAGAGGGUGAUCGGCCACACUGGAACUGAGACACGGUCCAGACUCCUACGGGAGGCAGCAGUAGAGAAUCUUCCGCAAUGGGCGAAAGCCUGACGGAGCAACGCCGCGUGAGUGAUGAAGGUCUUCGGAUCGUAAAACUCUGUUAUUAGGGAAGAACAUAUGUGUAAGUAACUGUGCACAUCUUGACGGUACCUAAUCAGAAAGCCACGGCUAACUACGUG
rnacentral:rRNA from 1 species